rnacentral:rRNA from 1 species
ACCUAGCAAUAGGUUGAUGGCGACCGGCGCACGGGUGAGUAACACGUAUCCAACCUACCGGUUAUUCCGGGAUAGCCUUUCGAAAGAAAGAUUAAUACCGGAUAGUAUAACGAGAAGGCAUCUUCUUGUUAUUAAAGAAUUUCGAUAACCGAUGGGGAUGCGUUCCAUUAGUUUGUUGGCGGGGUAACGGCCCACCAAGACAUCGAUGGAUAGGGGUUCUGAGAGGAAGGUCCCCACAUUGGAACUGAGACACGGUCCAA